rnacentral:rRNA from 1 species
UAGAAUAGGGGAUAGUUAUAGCCAAGACAGUGGUGCAUGGUUGUCGUCAGCUCGUGUCGUGAGAUGUUGGGUUAAGUCCCGCAACGAGCGCAACCCCUAUCUUUAGUUGCCAUCAUUGAGUUGGGCACUCUAAAGAGACUGCCGGUGUCAAACCGGAGAAGGUGGGGAUGACGUCAAGUCCUCAUGGCCUUUAUGACCAGGGCUACACACGUACUACAAUGGCCGGUACAAAGGGCAGCGACACAGCGGAUGUGAAGACCAAUCCCGAAAAGCCGGUCUCAGUCCGGAUUGGAGUCUGCAACUCGACUCCAUGAAGUUGGAAUCGCUAGUAAUCGCGGAUCAGCACGCCGCGGUGAAUACGUUCCCGGGCCUU